CGGUUACACUCCCCUGUCACCAGUGAUUCUUUUUCGCUGACAUUCUGAAAAAGUAUUGUGUAGUCCCUGUGACAAGAAAUAUAUAUAGAAAAAUAAUGAAAAAUAUAAACAGUUUCAAUAGAAAUGAGCGACAAAACAAGAUAAACAGAAUACAACAAGGCCUAAAUGGUCAAAUAUCUUGGUUUUUAUGAUCAUCGUCAGGUCCUGCAAGUCUAUACUGAAGAGGAAACUUAUUUAUUAAUACUUUUCUACAUAAUGUGCUAAUUGGAUUAAUUAAUGUGAAAUGAACUCAAUUGUGUGUUUUUCUGGAAAAAGAAAUAGAAAAAAUUCUACAAAAUUGCUAUAAACAAAAUGGAGUACUAUCAAAGAUGCACAAGAACACAAUGGUGUAAAAUGUAACAACCUACAUAUUCACUGAUGGAUUAUGGAGAAAUUAAGAAAAAAAAUAGUAUCUUUGUCAUGUUUGUUGUUGAACAUGUUGAAAUGAACACAUGCGUUAUCCAUUCAUGUACAUAAUAUUAUGUACAUGGCUCUCCAUCAUAUCAAAUAUACAGAGAAGAUGUUUGAAGAACAAGUUGCCAAAAUUUAUUCAACCAAUUGAAGGAAGAUGUCUUGUGGAUGGAAUUAUUUAUGCACUGAACUGUUAUGUAGGGGUUAGAAUAAUUAUACACAGCAGCUGAAACAGAAGACAAGUUAAUUUGACAUGAAAAGUGUUUAUUUUAUUUAAUAUGCAAAUAUAAGCACAAUAUAAAUAACAUCACAAAUAGUAUGAUAUUCAGUGUUUUGCUUAUUAUUGUAUUGUCUUAAACAUGUUAAACAGUCAGCCUUUUGUUUUUGUAUGUUUAAUACUCACCAUGAAAAAUUGUAUUAAAGUUUAUAUUAAUAUCUUUUGUAUCAAUAAUUCAG